rnacentral:rRNA from 1 species
UACGAAGGGGGGCUAGCGUUGCUCGGAAUCACUGGGCGUAAAGGGUGCGUAGGCGGGUCUUUUAAGUCAGGGGUGAAAUCCUGGAGCUCAACUCCAGAACUGCCUUUGAUACUGAAGAUCUUGAGUUCGGGAGAGGUGAGUGGAACUGCGAGUGUAGAGGUGAAAUUCGUAGAUAUUGGGAAGAACACCGGUGGCGAAGGCGGCGACCUGGUCCGUGACUGACGCUGAGGCGCGAAAGCGUGGGGAGCAAACAGG